rnacentral:rRNA from 1 species
GAUGAACGCUGGCGGCGUGCUUAACACAUGCAAGUCGAACGAUGAACCUCACUUGUGGGGGGAUUAGUGGCGAACGGGUGAGUAACACGUGAGUAACCUGCCCUUGACUCUGGGAUAAGCCUGGGAAACCGGGUCUAAUACUGGAUACGACCUUCUGGCGCAUGCCAUGUUGGUGGAAAGCUUUUGUGGUUUUGGAUGGACUCGCGGCCUAUCAGCUUGUUGGUGGGGUAAUGGCCUACCAAGGCGACGACGGGUAGCCGGCCUGAGAGGGUGACCGGCCCACACGGGGCGGGGGACCCGCCCAAGAUCCACAGGGGGGGGAGGGGGGGGAAAUAGGGCAAAAGGGGGGCAAGCGGGAGGAGGCGGCGCGGGGGGGGGGAGGAGGGUUUGGGGUGGGAAACCCUUUGUAGGGAGGAAGAAGCCGGGUUUUGGGGUGGGUGAGGGUACCUGAAAAAGAAGCGCCGGCAAACUACGUG